UGACUGACUGACCAGAUACUGUCUUUCCCUGUCCUUAUUCUGGGUCUGGAAUGAGGUAUUAAUACUGACUGACUGACCAGAUACUGUCUUUCCCUGUCCUUAUUCUAGGUCUGGAAUGAGGUAUUAAUACUUACUGACUGACCAGAUACUGUCUUUCCCUGUCCUUAUUCUAGGUCUGGAAUGAGGUAUUAAUACUUACUGACUGACCAGAUACUGUCUUUCCCUGUCCUUAUUCUAGGUCUGGAAUGAGGUAUUAAUACUUACUGACUGACCAGAUACUGUCUUUCCCUGUCCUUAUUCUAGGUCUGGAAUGAGGUAUUAAUACUUACUGACUGACCAGAUACUGUCUUUCCCUGUCCUUAUUCUAGGUCUGGAAUGAGGUAUUAAUACUUACUGACUGACCAGAUACUGUCUUUCCCUGUCCUUAUUCUAGGUCUGGAAUGAGGUAUUAAUACUUACUGACUGACCAGAUACUGUCUUUCCCUGUCCUUAUUCUAGGUCUGGAAUGAGGCAUUAAUACUUACUGACUGACCAGAUACUGUCUUUCCCUGUCCUUAUUCUAGGUCUGGAAUGAGGCAUUAAUACUUACUGACUGACCAGAUACUGUCUUUCCCUGUCCUUAUUCUAGGUCUGGAAUGAGGUAUUAAUACUUACUGACUGACCAGAUACUGUCUUUCCCUGUCCUUAUUCUAGGUCUGGAAUGAGGUAUCAAUGACCAAGGAGCUGUGGAGGCAGCUGUGUCUGAGCCGCUGGGCCUCCUGCAGAGCCUUCCCAGUGGUCCUGGGCACACAAACAUGGAAGCAGUACUAUUUCUGCCGGUCUGAGCUGGAGUUCCGUGUGGAAUCUGGGCGGCCACAGGACUUCAUCAGCAAAGCUAUUUCUGGGCAUGAAGGAAAGAUAGAUCAGCUGGCCUACGUCUCGCCCCAUGAGUACCGCUUUGAUGAAAUGGCAAGGUCCGUGGUUUGCACUGUGUCUUCAGACUGUACCGUGCGUGCCUGGGAUCUUCAUCAGGGCACAGAGAUCUGGUCCAGCCCUGUGCAGCCUGCUCCCCUGGUGAGUUUGGUGGCCUAUCCUCUGCUGCAGCUGGUUGUCACAGUGGACACACAGGGCUUGAUCAUCGGGUGGAAAGCGGAUACGGGAUCUGAGUGGGCCUCGUUCUGCCUGCCGACCUCCUGCUCAUCCAUGGAGGCCUGUAGCCACCCAGAGGGCUCCUUCUUGAUGGUGGCCUGUGCUGCAGGGAACCUCUAUACGCUGACAGUGCCUCAGCUGCGAGUGGUCUCCAAAGUGGCCACAUUUCCUCACACCUCUGUGAGCCUCACAUGCUCACCUGACCAACAGUGGGUGUCUGUGUUGCCACAAGGGUCAGGUGUAGGCCCAAAGGUGUUUUUCACUCAGCCCUUGCUCCACCCAUUAGAAGACGAGCUUCCUGUCUCCACCACCCUCCCUGUCAGGCUGAGUUCCAGAGCCUGCUGGGCUCCUGAUGAGGCAGCCAGGCUGAUGGUGAUGCAUCGAGAUGACAGUGGCAUGCACUUGGCCAUCACUACCUUCGGUUUAAAGGCCAGCAAGUCCAGGGACAGAGUGAGCAUCCUGGCACAACAGCUGGCCAGCUUCCCCCUGCCGGGCACUAUGACUCCUCACCUCAUGCAGGGCCACGGCUCCCAAGUGAUCCUGCUGGCCUCCAGGUCAGAGCUGGUGCUAUUCACCAUACACGGCCUGCAGCUGGUGGCCUUCCGGGAUCACCAGAGGCCCAUCACGUCCAUGUGGGUGGAUCCGAACCGUGUCGUCACCUCUUCCUUGGACCUGUCCUUGCGUGUCUAUGUAUGGGAUAAGAAGAAUACAUGUCCCAUCCUCAAGAGCUGUUAUCAACUGCUCGGGGGGUCUCACAGAUGGGCCAGUGGAUUUACCCACGUGAAAAGUGACAGCAUGAGCAUUGCUGGGGUUGAAGCCAGAAGCAAUGGAACAAGUAUUCUGAGGUCAUAUUGCUUCAAAGUUCAGCUGAGCUAGACUCUGCCAGUUGAAGAUGCUCUUGCUUUGUGUGCAUGCAAACUCCUCACCAAAGAUGUUGUCAGCUGUGGGAAGUAAGCUGGUGCUAAGCAACGGGCCUAAGGCUUCUCAGAUUGCUGGUCACAGGCGGAGUGGACUGCGGCAGUGCUAGAGAGCCUGCUUGCUUACAGAGUCAGAACUGCACCAGAGCUGCUCUUGCUAUCCCGGCUGUCAUUAAAACAUUCUUAUCUGCC